AAGGGAGACCUAAUUCGGGUAUAAGACGAAAAAAGAGUAGUCGAAACCAAGAAUCAAUCCCAAAAGGUCGGAACGAGGUAUGUGGCUUUCAAACUAGGUUCUGGGUUCACACAAGACCUGAAUCAGGAACAAGGGCUAUUAGCUCAGGUGGUUAGAGCGCACCCCCGAUAAGGGUGAGGUCCCUGGUUCGAGUCCAGGAUGGCCCACCUGCACAGGUGGCAAAAACAAAGAAGCGAGGAAUCAGCACCUUAUCUUAUCUAUAUAUAAGAGAGAAUGCUGGCUCUGAGUAAAGAGUCCAGAGGAACCUUGAAAACUGCAUAGAGCUAGGUGAAAAAGCCAAAAAAGAAGACCGCAA
rnacentral:tRNA from 1 species